rnacentral:misc_RNA from 1 species
GCAAACUUGGUCAUUUAGAGGAAGUAAAAGUCGUAACAAGGUUUCCGUAGGUGAACCUGCGGAAGGAUCAUUACUGAGGAAAAAGGUUUGAUUCAUUCAAACUACCUCCCACCCUUUGUUUACUUGCCUGUUUCUUCGGUGAACCGACAGUUCAACUGCCAUCGGCUCAAGCGGAUGAGUGUUUACCGAAGUUUUAUUUCAAAACUCUUUUAUUAGCAGUCUGAAUUUAUAAAUUUGAAAAUAAAUCAAAACUUUCAACAACGGAUCUCUUGGCUCUAGCAUCGAUGAAGAACGCAGC